GAUAAACGCUGGCGGCGUGCUUUACCAAUGCGAGUCGAACGGGCUCUGCUCUUCGGAGGGGAGUCAGUGGCGUCCGGGUGCGUAACACGUGGGUGACCUACCUCGAUGUGGGGGAUACCCACCCGAAAGGGUGGCUAAUACCGCAUGGGCUGCUUCUAUUUAGGAGGGAGUAGCAAAGCCUUGCUCGUGAGAGCGGGGCGCGUCGGGAGGGGCCCGCGGCCUAUCAGCUGGCUGGUGGGGUAAUGGCCUACCAGGGCGACGACGGGUAGCCGAUCUGAGAGGAUGACCGGCCACAGUGGGACUGAGAGAUGGUCCACAGCUCUACGGGGUUUAGCAUGGAGGAAUCUUGCGCAACGAUCUGGCGAUCGGCGCAGCAACGCCGCGUGGGGGAUGACGGCCCUUGGGUUGUAAACCCCUGUUGCUCGGGAAGAAGUAGUCACGGGGAGAGCCUGUGGCGAAGACGGUACCGGACGAGGAAGCACCGGCUAACUACGUGCCAGCAGCCGCGGUAAUACGUAGGGUGCGAGCGUUAUCCGGAUUCAUUGGGCGUAAAGGGCGCGCAGGCGGCCAUCAGCAGUGGUCCGUGGAAUCUCCCCGCUCACCGGGGAGGGGUCGGACCAGACGGGGUGGCUUGGGGCAGGCAGAGGAUCGCGGAACGGGCGGAGUAGGGGUGAAAUCCGUAGAGACCGUCCGGAACACCAGAGGCGAAGGCAGCGAUCUGGGCUGGGUCGAAAGACACUCUCGCAAGAGAGCCCGACGCUCGGGCGCGAAAGCGUGGGGAGCGAACGGAAUUAGAUACUCCGGUAGUCCACGCCCUAAACGAUGGCCACUCGGUGUCGGGGGUAUCGACCCCUCCGGUGCCUCAGCAAACGCGGUAAGUGGCCCGCCUGGGGACUACGGCCGCAAGGCUAAAACUCAAAGGAAUUGACGGGGGCCCGCACAAGCAGCGGAGCGUGUGGAUUAAUUCGAUGCAACGCGAAGAACCUUACCCAGGCUUGACAUGCACGUGGUACUGCCCCGAAAGGGAAGGGACCCGCAAGGGAGCGUGCACCGGUGCUGCAUGGCUGUCGUCAGCUCGUGCCGUGAGGUGUUGGGUUAAGUCCCGCAACGAGCGCAACCCUCGUCCCCAGUUGCGAUGUCUGGGGAGACUGCCGGGCGAACCCCGGAGGAAGGUGAGGACGACGUCAAGUCCGCAUGGCCCUUACGUCUGGGGCGUCACACACGCUACAAUGGCCGGUACAGCGGGAAGCCACCCUGUGAAGGGGCGCCAAUCCCCCAAAGCCGGCCUCAGUACGGAUUGGAGGCUGCAACCCGCCUCCAUGAAGUCGGAGUUGCUAGUAACCGCGCGUCAGCACAGUGCGGUGAAUGCGUUCCCGGGCCUUGUACACACCGCCCGUCACACCACGAAAGUCGGCAAGACUCGAAUGCCCUGGGCCAACCCACUCCCUCGGGAGCGGGAGGCAGGGGUUGAGAGUCGGGUCGAUAAUUGGGGUG
rnacentral:rRNA from 1 species